rnacentral:lncRNA from 1 species
AUGCUCGGCUUCCUUGCGCAGCUUCUCGGCAGCGGCCUGGGCCUGCGCCUGGGCCUGGGCCUGCUCCUCCGCGGACUGCUUCAGGCGCUCCGCCUCCUCCAGCUGCCGCCGGGACUGCGCCGCCUCGCGCUCGGCCCGCUCCCGCGCCUCCUCCGCCUCUUCCGCUGCCCGCCGGGCUGCCUCCGCCUCACCACGCAGCCGCUCCAGCACGCUCUGCUCCUGCUGGAGGGUCUGCUGCAGCUCCUGCUCCUUCUGCUGCACCGCGAAGGCGUGCGCCUUCUCCUCUGCGUGCAGCCGCUUCUGGGCGGCCUCCUGGGCCAGCUGCAGCUGCCGGGCGGACUCCUGCUCUGCGCGCUCGCGCAGGCGCCGCGCCUCCUCCACCUUGGCCUUGAGUCGCUCCACCUCUUCCAGGGCGGCCUUCCGCUGCCGCGCGGCCUCCUCCUCCGCCGCCAGGCUCUUCUGCACGCGCUCCUCCGCCUCGCGGCGCCGCCGCUCCUCCUCCGCCGCCAGCUGCCGCUGCCGCGCAGCCUCCCGCUCUGCCUGCUCCUUGCUGCGCAGCGUGUCCUCGGCGUUGCCGCGGAUGCGCCCCAGCUCCAGCUCCAGCUCCGCCUUGCCCGCAGCCGCUUUCUCGAAGCUCGCCUUGAGGGCCAGGAUCUCCUCCUCCACCUGGCGCCGCUGCCGCAGCGUGUCCUCCACCAGCCCCUUCUGCCGCUCCAGCUCGCUCUCCGAUGCCUUGCGCAGCUGCGCCAGCCGCUCCUCGAUGUCGGCCUUGUGCUGGGCCGCCUGCUCCUCCAGCCGCCGCCGCUGGAAGGCCUCAUCCUCCGCCAGUCGCCGCAGGCGCUCGUUCUCCGCCUCCUUCUCCUUGAGCGCGAUCUCCGCCUCGGUCUUGAGCCGCGCGGCCUCGCUGAUGGCGGCCAGCUUCUCGGAGAGCACCCGCUCGGCCUCCGCCCGCUGCCGCGCCGCGUCCUCCUCCGCCAGCUGCCGCUGCCGCUUGGCCUCCUCCGCCAGGGCGCGCAGGCGAGCGGCCUCCUCGGCCAGCUCGCGGAAGCGGCCGGCCUCGGCUUCCAGCCGCUGCUUGGACUUCUCGCUGGUGGAGCGCGACUCCUCCUCGGCCCGCGCCUUGCUGGCCAGCAGCACCUCCAUCUCAGCCCUCACCUUGGCCAGCUCGGCCUCCAGCUCCUGACGCUUCUGCGUGGCCGUAGCCGCCUCCUGCUGCAGCCGCGCCAGCUCUUCCUCCAGCAGCUGCCGCUGCUGCUCCCCCUGCUCGGUCUCGGCCCGCAGCCGGAUCAGCUCCUGUUCCGCCGCCAGCCGCUGCUGCGCGGUGCCCUCUGCCAGCUGCCGUUGCUUCUCCAGCUCCUGCUCGGCGAGCUCCCGCUGCCGCACCGCCUGCUCCUCCGCCUUGCCGCGCCGCCGCGCCUCGCGCUCCGCCUCCUCCUUCUGCUUCUCCGCCUCGGCCUGCGCCAGGCUCUUCUGCUGCGCCACCUCCUCUGCCUGCAGCCGCAGCCGCAGCGCCUCGUUGGCCUUCAGCUGCCAGCGCUCCAGCUCCCGCUCGGCCUCCUCGCGGGCGCGCUCGGCCUCGGCCUGCUGCUGCGCGUGCCGAGUGGCCUCCUCGCGGAGCUGGGCCACCGUCACGUGCUCCUCCUUGAGGGUGCGCUCCAGCUGCGCCGUCUUCUCCACGAAGGAUGCUUGCUUACUCUGCAGCUCUGCUUCCGCGCUGCGCUGGGCUGUCUCCAGGGCCACCUGCACCUGGCGUGCGCGCUCCGCCUCUGCCUGGCGCAGGCGCCGCUCCGCCUCCUCGGCCUGCAGCCGCAGCUCCUCCAGCGCCUGCAGGGCCCGCUGCUUCUCGCGAGCCGCCUCGGCCUCGGCUUUCACACGCAGAGCCAGCUCGGCCUCCGCCUGCCGCUUGCGCUGCGUCUCAUCCUGCACCUGGCGUCGCAAGCGCUCUGCCUCCUCCUGGGCCUGGCGCUUCUGCGCCUCGGCUUCUUCCGCCCGCGCACGCAGGGCCUGCAGCUCGCCCUCAGCGCCGCCGCGUUGGCGCUCAGUCGCCUCCAGCUGGAGUCGCACCACGCGGAUCUCCUCUUCGAUCCGUAG